GGUCUAUACAUGCAGUCGAGCGAACAGACGAGGAGCUUGCUCCUUUGACGUUAGCGGCGGACGGGUGAGUAACACGUGGGUAACCUACCUAUAAGACUGGGAUAACUUCGGGAAACCGGAGCUAAUACCGGAUAAUAUUUCGAACCGCAUGGUUCGAUAGUGAAAGAUGGCUUUGCUAUCACUUAUAGAUGGACCUGCGCCGUAUUAGCUAGUUGGUAAGGUAACGGCUUACCAAGGCAACGAUNCGUANCCGACCUGAGAGGGUGAUCGGCCACACUGGAACUGAGACACGGUCCAGACUCCUACGGGAGGCAGCAGUAGGGAAUCUUCCGCAAUGGGCGAAAGCCUGACGGAGCAACGCCGCGUGAGUGAUGAAGGUCUUCGGAUCGUAAAACUCUGUUAUUAGGGAAGAACAAACGUGUAAGUAACUGUGCACGUCUUGACGGUACCUAAUCAGAAAGCCACGGCUAACUACGUGCCAGCAGCCGCGGUAAUACGUAGGUGGCAAGCGUUAUCCGGAAUUAUUGGGCGUAAAGCGCGCGUAGGCGGUUUUUUAAGUCUGAUGUGAAAGCCCACGGCUCAACCGUGGAGGGUCAUUGGAAACUGGAAAACUUGAGUGCAGAAGAGGAAAGUGGAAUUCCAUGUGUAGCGGUGAAAUGCGCAGAGAUAUGGAGGAACACCAGUGGCGAAGGCGACUUUCUGGUCUGUAACUGACGCUGAUGUGCGAAAGCGUGGGGAUCAAACAGGAUUAGAUACCCUGGUAGUCCACGCCGUAAACGAUGAGUGCUAAGUGUUAGGGGGUUUCCGCCCCUUAGUGCUGCAGCUAACGCAUUAAGCACUCCGCCUGGGGAGUACGACCGCAAGGUUGAAACUCAAAGGAAUUGACGGGGACCCGCACAAGCGGUGGA
rnacentral:rRNA from 1 species